rnacentral:tRNA from 1 species
UAAACUGAGGCCGGAUGUUUAGGCGCUUAGCUGUUAACUAAGAUUUAGUAGGA